rnacentral:rRNA from 1 species
UACGGAGGGGGCUAGCGUUGUUCGGGAUUACUGGGCGUAAAGCGCACGUAGGCGGCUUUGUAAGUUAGAGGUGAAAGCCCGGGGCUCAACUCCGGAACUGCCUUUAAGACUGCAUCGCUUGAAUCCGGGAGAGGUGAGUGGAAUUCCGAGUGUAGAGGUGAAAUUCGUAGAUAUUCGGAAGAACACCAGUGGCGAAGGCGGCUCACUGGACCGGUAUUGACGCUGAGGUGCGAAAGCGUGGGGAGCAAACAGG